rnacentral:lncRNA from 1 species
UAAUGCUAAAGGGGAAGAAAAAAAGAAUAAGGAAAAGAGACAAGAGAAUUCUACAGAGUUUAAACAACCUAAUGUAACGUUGAGAUUCAGAGGGGAAAAUGAGCAUCUGUGACAGCUGACUAGAUCCUUGUGUACUUUGAUAGGAAAUAAGUAACAUAUGAUACCCAUUCAGUUAGGGAAUUCUGUGUUCAGUUUUCUUAUUAAACACUGUAAUCACAGAUCUUCCCGUAUUGAAAGUAAACAUUCUUUAAUAUUAUAAUCAAAAGCUUGAAUAUGUUUUGCUGAAAACACUCUAAAGGGGUAAGUGUAAGAGAACAAAAGGAAACAUUUGAUGUCCCUAAAACACAGUCUUUGGGGAUAAGAAACACACGGUCCCUAAACUGAUGGUGGAGGAAGAACAAUACUCAGCAGGGGAAAGGAGAGGCUUUUUAAUAAGUGUGGCUCUGGAUCUCCUUAAUCAAAGAAGACAUGCUCACAGCAUUCAGUGAAUGUGACCUCACUCUUGAGGGCCUAUACAUAGGAAUGCUCACAGAAAAACUCCAUUUCUUAAGGUUGGCUAUUUUAUGGAUAAUGUUUAAGUUAUUUUAUUGAACUGCCAUUCUACGUAUGCUAAAAUUAAUACUUGCACAUUUUAUGUCUGUGGAACUUUAAGGUCCCUAAUAAUUCAUACUCUAUAUCCUGGAGCAGAAGAUCAACGUUCAAAGGAAAGUAUUGGUCCAAUCUAUAGGAAUAUCUACAGUCUUCCUUAUGAAGAUAGUUGUCUAUUCAAGUGAGACCUUCAUAUGAGCGAACAAAAUUUUAAGAGAAUUUCUGACUUGUUAUCUGACUUGGUUUUUAAAGUAUAUUUGCUUUCCUUUAGAGUUAAUUAUGAAUAAUGUGUUGCUAGACAAAAUAAAUACAAGCUGCUUAGUUAAUUGAAGUAAGUUUUGAGUGUAAAUAAAAACAAACUAUAUAUAAUCCCACCUGUAAAACAAGAGGUGGUCCAGAGACGUUUGUUUUAUUUUUUUUAAAGAUUUUAUUUAUUCAUGAGAGACACAGAGAGAGAGGCAGAGAGAUAGGGAGAGGGAGAAGCAGGCUCCCCAUGGGGAGCCCAAUGUGAAACCCAAAACCCAGGACCCCAGAAUCAUGACCUGAGCCAAAGGCAGGCGCUCAACCACUGAGCCACCCAGGUGCCCCCAGAGACUUGUUUUACUGUGAUUUUUCUUUUAUCUUUUAAAGCACCCCGCCCUCUAUUUUUAGUGAUAUUUCAACUUUAGAGACAAAUAGAUUACUGUAAAAUGAGGGGGUCUCAUUCAAUUAAUUAAAAAAAAAUCUCUCUCUAUGUCUCUCAUGAAUAAAUAAAUAAUAAAUAAAUAAAUAAAAAUUAUAGUGUAACUUAUUGUAUUAAUUUUUAAAAAUAUAUGAAUAAAAGAAGAUAUUUAUAAGAAAACAAAACAUAUUUCCAAGAGGCUAUUUGGUUAGUCUACAAUAUUA